UACGAAGGGGGCGAGCGUUGUUCGGAAUUACUGGGCGUAAAGGGCGCGCAGGCGGCUCUGAAAGUCAGAUGUGAAAGCCCCGGGCUUAACCUGGGAACUGCAUUUGAUACUCUAGAGCUUGAGUACGGGAGAGGAGAGUGGAAUUCCCAGUGUAGAGGUGAAAUUCGUAGAUAUUGGGGAAGAACACCGGUGGCGAAGGCGGCUCUCUGGACCGUAACUGACGCUGAGGCGCGAAAGCGUGGGGAGCAA
rnacentral:rRNA from 1 species